rnacentral:rRNA from 1 species
GUGAAGGGUGGGGCGGCAGCCGGGGGAAGAGGGGGGGGGCUGGGGUGGCGUGGAAUGACGGGUGGUAAAGGGGGGGUAGGGGGAUUGCACAGUCGGGCGUGAAAGUCCUGGGGUUAACCUGGGGGCUGCGUUCGAGACGUGUGGUCUGGAGUGCGGAAGAGGGUCGUGGAAUUCCCAGUGUAGAGGUGAAAUUCGUAGAUAUUGGGAAGAACACCGGUGGCGAAGGCGGCGACCUGGUCCGUGACUGACGCUGAGGCGCGAAAGCGUGGGGAGCAAACAGGAUUAGAUACCCUAGUAGUC